UGCAAGUCGAACGGUGAAGGAGGAGCUUGCUCCUUUGGAUCAGUGGCGAACGGGUGAGUAACACGUGAGUAACCUGCCCCAGACUCUGGGAUAAGCACUGGAAACGGUGUCUAAUACCGGAUACGAGCUUCAGCCGCAUGGCUAGGAGCUGGAAAGAAUUUCGGUCUGGGAUGGACUCGCGGCCUAUCAGCUAGUUGGUGAGGUAAUGGCUCACCAAGGCGACGACGGGUAGCCGGCCUGAGAGGGUGACCGGCCACACUGGGACUGAGACACGGCCCAGACUCCUACGGGAGGCAGCAGUGGGGAAUAUUGCACAAUGGGCGCAAGCCUGAUGCAGCAACGCCGCGUGAGGGACGACGGCCUUCGGGUUGUAAACCUCUUUUAGUAGGGAAGAAGCGAAAGUGACGGUACCUGCAGAAAAAGCACCGGCUAACUACGUGCCAGCAGCCGCGGUAAUACGUAGGGUGCAAGCGUUAUCCGGAAUUAUUGGGCGUAAAGAGCUCGUAGGCGGUUUGUCGCGUCUGCUGUGAAAACUGGAGGCUCAACCUCCAGCCUGCAGUGGGUACGGGCAGACUAGAGUGCGGUAGGGGAGAUUGGAAUUCCUGGUGUAGCGGUGGAAUGCGCAGAUAUCAGGAGGAACACCGAUGGCGAAGGCAGAUCUCUGGGCCGUAACUGACGCUGAGGAGCGAAAGCAUGGGGAGCGAACAGGAUUAGAUACCCUGGUAGUCCAUGCCGUAAACGUUGGGAACUAGAUGUAGGGACCAUUCCACGGUUUCUGUGUCGCAGCUAACGCAUUAAGUUCCCCGCCUGGGGAGUACGGCCGCAAGGCUAAAACUCAAAGGAAUUGACGGGGGCCCGCACAAGCGGCGGAGCAUGCGGAUUAAUUCGAUGCAACGCGAAGAACCUUACCAAGGCUUGACAUAUACCGGAAAAGUUCAGAAAUGUUCUCCCCGCAAGGUCGGUAUACAGGUGGUGCAUGGUUGUCGUCAGCUCGUGUCGUGAGAUGUUGGGGUUAAGUCCCGCAACGAGCGCAACCCUCGUUCUAUGUUGCCAGCACGUAAUGGUGGG
rnacentral:rRNA from 1 species